rnacentral:ncRNA from 1 species
UAACGCUUGACGGGGUGCCGGUGGAUGCCGGCUGAGAUCGCGCCAGGGCCACAGGCCCCAGCGCGGGUCCCGCCGAACCUGAUCCGGGUGAAGCCUGAACGUGUGAUCACGUCAUGGCCUGUACCGGCGUAGGGAUCAAGCGGCGCCCCCGC